GACGAACGCUGGCGGCGUGCUUAACACAUGCAAGUCGAGCGAGGCCCCUCCUUCGGGGGGGUUUCCUAGCGGCUAACGGGUGAGUAACACGUGGGCAACCUGCCCUCAGCUCUGGGAUAACUCCGUGAAACCGGGGCUAAUACCGGAUACGACCUCCACGAGCAUCUGCGGCGGUUGAAAGUUUUUCGGCUGAGGAUGGGCCCGCGGCCGAUCAGCUAGUUGGUGGGUUAGUGGCCCGGCAAGGCGACGGCGGGUAGCCGGCCUGAGAGGGAGACCGGCCACACUGGGACUGAGAAGCGGCCAAGACUCCUACGGGAGGAAGCAGUGGGGAAUAUUGCGCAAUGGGCGGAAGCCGGACGCAGCGACGCCGCGUGAGGGACGAAGGCCUUCGGGUUGUAACCCUCUUUCAGCAGGGAAGAAGAGACAGUGACGGUACCUGAAGAAGAAGCACCGGCCAACUACGUG
rnacentral:rRNA from 1 species